GGAGAAACCAGGCUUGUCACUUUCUCAGGAGGUUUAUUUCCACCCCAAAGGGUUAGAGGAAGAUGGUUCAAAGCAGACUCUACGAAGGGAGAGGGAGCAGUGGUCUGUCCCCUUCCCAGUCUACUCAGUAAUAGGCGUGUCUGCCAAUCCAGCAUUUCAGCCUUGGAGGGAGCAGUGGCUGCUUUCUUCUAAAAUGAAAUGAGAAAAGAGACAAAAGAACUAAGAAAGCUGAAACGAUAAAGGUUCAAAACAUAGCGAUCAAAUAUGACCUUUCCGGAGACUAAUGCUACAAACAAUUUUGCAAAUAUACCACGUGGGAGAAAAACAAAUAGCGAUGAAAAUGUGCGCUGCCCUCUCUUAUUUUAUAAACAUCAGCACGCAAAAUGUAUACAUUCAUCAUGCUGGCUGAAUACCAGAGUCUUCCUGCCAAACUGCUUUUUCAAAAGAUUGCACCUAUGUACGUUUUUCACAACCAUUGUUAUUUUCUUAGC